rnacentral:rRNA from 1 species
UACGUAGGGUCCGGGCGUUGUCCGGAAUUACUGGGCGUAAAGAGCUCGUAGGUGGUUUGUCGCGUUGUUCGUGAAAACUCACAGCUUAACUGUGGGCGUGCGGGCGAUACGGGCAGACUAGAGUACUGCAGGGGAGACUGGAAUUCCUGGUGUAGCGGUGGAAUGCGCAGAUAUCAGGAGGAACACCGGUGGCGAAGGCGGGUCUCUGGGCAGUAACUGACGCUGAGGAGCGAAAGCGUGGGGAGCGAACAGG